rnacentral:rRNA from 1 species
AUUGAACGCUGGCGGCAUGCCUUACACAUGCAAGUCGAACGGUAACAGGUCUUCGGAUGCUGACGAGUGGCGAACGGGUGAGUAAUACAUCGGAACGUGCCUAGUAGUGGGGGAUAACUACUCGAAAGAGUGGCUAAUACCGCAUGAGAUCUACGAAUGAAAGCAGGGGAUCGCAAGACCUUGUGCUACUAGAGCGGCCGAGGGCAGAUUAGGUAGUUGGAGGGAUAAAAGCUUACCAAGCCGACGAUCUGUAGCCGGUCUGAGAGGACGAUCAGCCUAACUGGGACUGAGACACGGCCCAGACUCCUACGGGAGGCAGCAGUGGGGAAUUUUGGACAAUGGGCGCAAGCCUGAUCCAGCAAUGCCGCGUGCAGGAUGAAGGCCUUCGGGUUGUAAACUGCUCUUGUACGGAACGAAAAGCCCUGGGUUAAUACCCUGGGGUCAUGACGGUACCGUAAGAAUAAGCACCGGCUAACUACGUGCCAGCCGCCGCCGUAA